rnacentral:misc_RNA from 1 species
UCCCCGUUAACCGGGGCAGUCCCCCUAGAGUUCCCGGCAUGACCCGUUGGCAACUAGGGGCGAGGGUUGCGCUCGUUGCGGGACUUAACCCAACACCUCACGGCACGAGCUGACGACAGCCGUGCAGCAUCUGUGCACGCUCCCUUGCGGGUCGUUCCUGUUUCCAGGUCUUACCACGUGCAUGUCAAGCCCAGGUAAGGUUCUUCGCGUUGCGUCGAAUUAAACCACACGCUCCGCUGCUUGUACGGGCCCCCGUCAAUUCCUUUGAGUUUUAGCCUUGCGGCCGUACUCCCCAGGCGGGGCACUUAAUGCGUUAGCUUCGGCAUGGGAGGAGUCGACACCUCCCACACCUAGUGCCCAUCGUUUACGGCGUGGACUAC